GACGAACGCUGGCGGCGUGCUUAACACAUGCAAGUCGAACGAAGAGCGAUGGAAGCUUGCUUCUAUCAAUCUUAGUGGCGAACGGGUGAGUAACGCGUAAUCAACCUGCCCUUCAGAGGGGGACAACAGUUGGAAACGACUGCUAAUACCGCAUACGAUCUAAUCUCGGCAUCGAGGAUAGAUGAAAGGUGGCCUCUACAUGUAAGCUAUCACUGAAGGAGGGGAUUGCGUCUGAUUAGCUAGUUGGAGGGGUAAAGGCCCACCAAGGCGAGGAUCAGUAACCGGUCUGGAAAGAUGAACGGCCACCUUGGGACUGAGACAAGGCCCAGACUCCUACGGGGGGCAGCAGGGGGGAAUCUUCCGCAAUGGACGAAAGUCUGACGGAGCAACGCCGCGGGGGCGGUGACGGCCUUCGGGUUGUAAAGCUCUGUUAAUCGGGACGAAAGGCCUUCUUGCGAAUAGUGAGAGGGAUUGACGGUACCGGAAGAGAAAGCCACGGCUAACUACGUG
rnacentral:rRNA from 1 species